GAGAAAGAAGCAUAUUGGCUAUGUGGUUGGCUUGAAACCAGUAGAAGGCGGUUCGAUUCCCCCCUUUCUUG
rnacentral:tRNA from 1 species